rnacentral:rRNA from 1 species
CAGCAGCCGCGGUAAUACGUAGGGGGCGAUCGUUGUCCGGAUUUAUUGGGCGUAAAGGGCGUGUAGGCGGUCUGGUAAGUCGGGGGUGACAACCCGGGGCUCAACCCCGGGUCUGCCUCCGAAACUGCGGGACUUGAGUGCUCUAGAGGGCAGUGGAAUUGCCGGUGUAGCAGUGAAAUGCGUAGAGAUCGGCAGGAACACCAGUGGCGAAGGCGACUGCCUGGGGAGUAACUGACGCUGAGGCGCGAAAGCUGGGGGAGCA